GGGGGUCGGGACAGGGUGGGUUAAGAGCCUGAGGCUGGUACCCACCCACCCACCUGAGGAUGCUGUUACCAGGGGCAACCUCCAGCCUCUGACGUUAGCUGGGGAGCAGGGAGGCUGGAGAUGGCGACUUGGCAUGGUAACCCGGGCAACGUGCCCGGCAACUUGGCAUGGUAACCCGGGCAACGUGCCCAGCAACUUGCAUGGCGUAACAGUCUCACGGGGACGCCUGGUGAACUGCGAACAACUCCACCAGGCAGUCCCACCUGUCCCAGCCUGCCAGCUGAACUGUGGCCAGGCUGCUCCGGGCCCCGACCGAACCAGUUCCUCUACACGCUGGGUGUGCCGAGGUUAUUCAGUUCACAGAUCACCAGAGAGUCGCUUUAUGCCUUAAGCCCUGCCCCUGCACCUGCCCCAGAGAAUGGGGCACGAGGAGGGGCGGGGACACUGGCACCUGCUCAGGAGACCGUCAGUUCAGCUGCUAUUGAAUAACAGUUUGAGACCUCCCUCCCCAGGGCCUCGCUCAACCACCAAUGAAAUGCUGCCAUCUCUGGGGUGGAACGUGACGGCCGUUCUGCACCAGGUUCCCACACCGAAUAGCCCAUCCCCCGUUCAGGCCGGGAUGCUGAGAAGGGCAGAGACAGGCAGUUGACACCGUAACAAGUGAGUCUGGAACCAGAGUAAGAGCUCAGGGCGCUGGGGUCAGGUUCUGAUCUCAGUUAACACCAGCUGAAACCUGGUGCAAGUCCUUCGAUGGAUUUACAGAUGAGGGGGUGUUUACAUUGGGACCCAUUUAUUUUUCCA